GGUCCUGGUCCUGGUCCUGGUCCUGGUCCUGGUCCUGGACCUGGUCCUGGUCCUGGACCUGGUCCUGGUCCUGGAC
ensembl:miRNA Gm25399 predicted gene, 25399